GGUUGUGUAGUGUAGCGGUUAUCACUCGAGAUUUUGAAACACGUGUCACGUGACCAUGCAGUGAUAUCAGAUUUCUCGUAACCCCGGUUCGAACCCGGGCACGACCU